UGGUAGUCCACGCUGUAAACGAUGUCGAUUUAGAGGUUGUGGUCUUGAAUCGUGGCUUCUGGAGCUAACGCGUUAAAUCGACCGCCUGGGGAGUACGGCCGCAAGGUUAAAACUCAAAUGAAUUGACGGGGGCCCGCACAAGCGGUGGAGCAUGUGGUUUAAUUCGAUGCAACGCGAAGAACCUUACCUACUCUUGACAUCCAGCGAAUCCUUUAGAGAUAGAGGAGUGCCUUCGGGAACGCUGAGACAGGUGCUGCAUGGCUGUCGUCAGCUCGUGUUGUGAAAUGUUGGGUUAAGUCCCGCAACGAGCGCAACCCUUAUCCUUUGUUGCCAGCACGUGAUGGUGGGAACUCAAAGGAGACUGCCGGUGAUAAACCGGAGGAAGGUGGGGAUGACGUCAAGUCAUCAUGGCCCUUACGAGUAGGGCUACACACGUGCUACAAUGGCAGAUACAAAGAGAAGCGACCUCGCGAGAGCAAGCGGAACUCAUAAAGUCUGUCGUAGUCCGGAUUGGAGUCUGCAACUCGACUCCAUGAAGUCGGAAUCGCUAGUAAUCGUAGAUCAGAAUGCUACGGUGAAUACGUUCCCGGGCCUUGUACACACCGCCCGUCACACCAUGGGAGUGGGUUGCAAAAGAAGUAGGUAGCUUAACCUUCGGGAAGGCGCUUACCACUUUGUGAUUCAUGACUGGGGUGAAGUCGUA
rnacentral:rRNA from 1 species